ensembl:lncRNA
GCCCCCAACACCUUCCAGCGGGACGCCCUGCUGCAGUCGAGCUAUCAGGGAACCCAGGCUGGCUCCGCCCAGCACCACCACCACCACCACCACCACCCACAGCAACACUACCCACAGCAGAGGGUGGUGCACCGACCACAGCAUCAGGGAGCUCCCAGCGCCGCGCCCCCGCCCCCGCCCACCCAGGGAGAGAGCGCCUACUACCGACGGACCACAAAGGCGGAGCAGCACGGCACGCCCAAACCUCCACCCCCCCCGCCGCCGCCGCCGUCGUCCUCCGUGUCCUCGCCGGCGCUCUCCUCCUCCCUGUUCUCAGGUUUCCAGCGGGCGGGGGGAGAGCGUGAUCACCAGCAGACCCUCGUCAGUCCUCCCUCCCUCCUCUGGUUCCCUCAGCUCCUACACUCCCGUGGCUCCGUCGGGCCACCACCACCACCACCACCAGCACCACCAGCACCACCACCACGCUGCUGCUGCUGCUGCCCGACACGCCCACCCCGGCCUCCCCAGAGUGGGGCACCAGCCAGGCUCCACCCCCCAGGGCACCGGCCUGGCCCGCGGCCAGCCCCAGCUGUGUGCUCCGGUGCCGGCCUCGCAGUCCAUCGAGGAGGCCCUGGACAAACUGGACGCCGAGCUGGAGGGCCACAUGCAGGCGGAGGAGACGAGGAAGAGGGCCAGGGAGGAGGAGGAGGAGAAGACAGAGAGGAAGAGGCGAGAGGAGGAGUGUCAGAAGAGGCGGGAGUGGGAGAGGCAACAGGAGGACAAGAGGAAGAAGGAGGAGGAGGAGGAGAGGAAGAGGCGAGAGCUGGAGAGGCAGGAGAGGAAGAGGAGGGAGCUGGAGAGGAAGGAGGAGGAGAAAAGACAGAGGGAGAGACAGGAGGAGGAGAAACGCCAGAGGGAGUGGGAGAGGAAGGAGGAGGAGAAACGGCAGAGGGAGACACAGGAGGAGGAGAAAAAGCAGCGGGAGAGACAGGAGGAGGAGAAACAACGGAGGGAGUGGCAGGAAAAACAACGGAGGGAGUGGGAGAGGAAGGAGGAGGAGAAACGACAGUGGGAGAGGCAGGAGGAGGAGAGGAGGAGACUGCAGCUGCAGCAGAAGAGGAGGGAGGAGCAGGAGGCCAACGCUAAAGGCAGAAGAGAGCAGACGGCCAUGGACAACCUGGAGAGACUGCUGGCAGGCGACUCCUCGCCGCCCCCUGCCCUCCCUCACCUCUCAAGCCCCCCCGCCCCGUCUGCCUCAGUCACCC